AGAGCACCAUGGAAUGUGGCUGUGGAGCUGGAAGGGGCUGUGGUAGGAGAGCAGCUCUGUAGAGUCAGCAGAAGGCAAGACAUUAACCUUUAGUUCCACCAGGACCACAGCUGGGAACAUGGAGAAGGCACUUCCUGCUGGAGAAGGUCUUGGGUUCAUCAGUGCCAGGAAACGUGGGAACCAGAAUAGAAAUGAAAAGGAAGGAAGCAAACAAGUACACAUCAUUGUGCAAUAGUGAAAUGAGAGAAGACAAAUAUUCGAAUGCAGAGAGUAACUGAACAGAAAGAGCAUGGGAAGAGAUGAAGAGGUCCAGAGGGGAGAGCAAGAGGGAUACAGAACCUCUCACUUGUUAUUCUUGUGGAUCUCGUACCCUCUUAUCUGUAAAUACCAUGCUGGUGUUGCUGUUUUCUCGUGUGGGUUGGUUUGCAGUUGAGACCUCAGCUUCAACCAGGAAGCUGAACCACUGGCUGGUGGAGCAGAGCUCCAGUGAACACCCUUUCUUCUGGAGACAUGUGUGGCUGGACUCGUGUGCCCAGCAUGGUGUGGAGGGUGGUUACUAUGGGUGCUGAUAGAAACCAAAGGAGAGGAAAUGGCAGAUGGGAGGAGGUUUUGCUCUAAGCCUGAAGAGGAAAAGCGGUGGCAGGCAGUGAGGAGCAGCAGAGAUUCCACCCACAGAGGCUGGGGAGAGAGAGGGGCCUGCACCUGCUGACUGCUCCCCUUGGUGGCAGGGGUGACACAAGCUGUGUCUGGCCUGGGAGAGACAGAGGCUCCUGGCUGAUCUCACCAGGCACCCAGCAUGGUCACCAUGAGGCUGUUGAGAAGCAUGGAGCUCUGGCAGGCCAACACCUUUCUGCCCCUGCUGCUCCUCACCUGGCUGCCAAUUGGAGCAGUCAGUCUGGAGGUACAGCCAUGCACCACUGUGCAGUUCGAGAUUUGUUUGGAAAAUCUCACGGUGCAGGUGAAGUGGUGCAAACCUGAAUGUCUGGAGGGGGAGAAUCAAACCAUCCCUGUGACUCCAGGAGAAAACUGUAUGAAUUUCACCAGCUCAAGCCCGUGUGCAGCCCACACAGGAAUCUGUGCAUGUAGGGUCUUCAUCACAAGACCAAAUUUGACAGACACUGGAAACUGCACACAAGCAGCAGUUCACUGCUGUGGCUGUGCAGAACCUCUGACUGAUGUCACAGGGAAGAUCUGGACAGGACUCAACCUCCUCCUGUGCAUCUUCCUUGGCUUAGCGGUUGGGACCCUCCUUUACAUGCCGGUAAUUGGCUUCCUGCUGUGGCAGUGCACAAGGAACAAAACAGGAGAGCUCAUGAGCAGGGAAGUGGCAGAGAGGAAUCAGGUCAAUAUGGCAGCCCCAGUGACAGGGACUGAGGACCUGACCUAUGCCAACCUGAAUUUUGGAAAGAAGGAGAGAGGACCUGCCUCCUCCAAUGUCAUUUACACUGAGAUCAAGCCAUCACAACAGAAGCAGAGUGCUGGGGAGGGCAGUGCUGCCAGCACAGAUAUGUAUGUCUCCUCCAAGGAAGAGGGCAAGUGAGGGAG
rnacentral:lncRNA from 1 species